rnacentral:rRNA from 1 species
GACGAACGCUGGCGGCGUGCUUAACACAUGCAAGUCGAACGGAAAGGCCCUGCUUUUGUGGGGUGCUCGAGUGGCGAACGGGUGAGUAACACGUGAGUAACCUGCCCUUGACUUUGGGAUAACUUCAGGAAACUGGGGCUAAUACCGGAUAGGAGCUCCUGCUGCAUGGUGGGGGUUGGAAAGUUUCGGCGGUUGGGGAUGGACUCGCGGCUUAUCAGCUUGUUGGUGGGGUAGUGGCUUACCAAGGCUUUGACGGGUAGCCGGCCUGAGAGGGUGACCGGCCACAUUGGGACUGGGAUACGGCCCAGACUCCUACGGGGGGCAGCAGGGGGGAAUAUUGCACAAUGGGCGGAAGCCUGAUGCAGCAACGCCGCGUGCGGGAUGACGGCCUUCGGGUUGUAAACCGCUUUCGCCUGUGACGAAGCGUGAGUGACGGUAAUGGGUAAAGAAGCACCGGCUAACUACGUG